rnacentral:lncRNA from 1 species
ACAUAAUGAGGGGAAAUUUGAGACCAACGGGAAACUCAACAGAUGGAACUGGAAGUGAAUGUCUAUUUUCUUCUUUAUCUCUACUCUUAAAUGGAAGUGAAAAUCUGCAGGAUGACUGUAUGCAAUUCAAUUUCCAGAUAUUGGGUGUGGCUGAAUACUGCUAGGAACAUUCAACACUAGGUGCAGUGUGUACAUGCAUAAACUUGGAUGAAACAACCUGUAUGUUAGUGACCACACAUCAUUCCAGUGUCAUAAACUUUAUGCUUAAAAGGUCAUGUUCUAACUACUUUCCUUUUAAUGCUUCUCCGUGUAGGAAACUCUACGAUCCCACUGGCUACUACAGAGGUCGUGCACAAGAUGCAUGUUGCCUCUUAAGUCAUAUCGAUGCGACUUAUUAAAUUUGACUUAUGUUAGUGUUGUUCCGAGGCAUUUCAAGUCAGGUGGAGUACUAAUGUUUUAGAAAAUCGUUGUGCUAUCUUUUGUAUAUACACCUGAGUUUUUACAUGCAUUAUGUGCGGUAAGCACCAUAUAUGAUUGUGUGGAAUAUUCUUACUAGAACUCCAGUAGAAGACAAAUUAUCUAUCUUGAGUUAUUAUCUACUUUUAUUAUCAUAUUAUGUUUGAUUUUUUAAUGUUAAUUAAUGUGCACAGGAUUGCACGUUCUUUUGCCAUUUAGUUUUAUAAAAUAUAUUUCUUUUUAUGUACUUUUCCCCUUUCUGAUGACAAUUAUAUUGCUCAAACUUAAUUUAGCAUGGCCAGUACUCUUCUUUAUUGUUGUAUUAAAAUAUCAACUUUGCAAAUAUCGACUCUCUUAAAAUAAUGAUCAUGUGUUUCUGUUGUGGUGAGAUUGCCAGGUUCUAUAAGAUAAAGCAACAAAAGGGCUACAUGAAGCCAGAAGCUCUAAUUCCUGGAGGAAAGAACCUAAACAAUGGUCACUAUACUUAUAGCGCACAGCCAGAGUAGUGUGUGUAUGAUGAUAUUGAAUAACCUGUGAUUCCCUUGUUUUUCGUUGAAUGUCUGGAUAAAAAGUUGAUUAUAGUAACUCAUUUUUGCUUACCAUAUGGUUUUAUUACAGCAGAAAAUUGUUUAGGUGAUUAGUCGGAACUCUUAAACUUUAUUUGGUAGGUGCUAUCUGUUAUUGAACCGCUCUAAUUUGCAAUUCUCUGGCCC